rnacentral:rRNA from 1 species
UACGUAGGGGGCAAGCGUUGUCCGGAAUCAUUGGGCGUAAAGCGCGUGUAGGCGGCUAUGUAAGUCGGGCGUGAAAUCCCACGGCUCAACCGUGGAAGUGCACCCGAAACUGCGUAGCUAGAGUCCUGGAGAGGAAGGUGGAAUGCUUGGUGUAGAGGUGAAAUUCGUAGAUAUCAAGCGGAACACCGGUGGCGAAGGCGGCCUUCUGGACAGUGACUGACGCUGAGACGCGAAAGCGUGGGGAGCAAACAGG